GCGUCAAAUAUUCUUACUUUAGCCUAAGAAUCGCCUAUUUUGCGUUGAUUUCACGUCACCCAUAGCCUAAUAUUUGACGUAUCAUCGAUUCAGGAUCAAACCGAGAGUUCCC